GCGCCUGUAGCUCAGUUGGAUUAGAGUGUCGGCCUCCGAAGCCGAAGGUCGUGGGUUCAAGUCCCGCCAGGCGCGCCA
rnacentral:tRNA from 1 species